rnacentral:lncRNA from 1 species
CCGGGCCGCCGGCCCUCGCUUGGCGCGGAGACCUGGCUGCGAGACCAAGCGUGGCUUUGAUUCUGGCGCCUGCGUGUCAGCAGCGCGGCGUGGCCGGGAAAGCUGGGCCCCGCUCUGGGGGUCCCCCUGAUGGGCCUGAGAGGAAAACGCUUUGAAAUUGAUGGGAGCUGGGAAAGCCACUGAGAGGGACGUCCUCCCCUUGAGGCUGGAUGCUACCCUGCACCCUUGAAACUAGAAAACCUGGUUGGAGUCUGCAAACCGCGAUGCAGGAUGUGGGCACCGAGAAAAAGCAAGAGAUCCCAGUCAGGACUUCGUUGGCCCAAACCACGCUUGAAAUCCAUCCAGGCAAGUUGGAGUAGAAACCUGAUGGAGAGACCAUGGAGGACUGCUGCUUAUUGGCUUGUCUCCCAUGGCUUGCUCAGCUGGCUUUCUUACAGCAUCCAGGACCAGCAGCCCAGGGGUGACAGAGUGAGCUGGUGCCACAGAGAGCUGGGCCCUCCCACUUCAAUCAUCAAUCAAGAAUGGAGAACAGGGGCUGGAGAGAUGGCUCAGCGGUUAAGAGCACUGACCGCUCUUCUGAAGGUCCUGAGUUCAAACCCCAGCAACCACAUGGUGGCUCACACCAUCUGUCAUGAGAUCUGAUACCCUCUUCUGGGGUGUCUGAAGACAGCUACAGUGUACUUACAUAUAAUAAAUGUUAAAAAAAAAAAAAAAGAAUGGAGAA